rnacentral:piRNA from 1 species
UCUCCACAAGAGGUUUCUCACUUUGGAGC